UGAAUCCCUUAACGCAUGCACUGUUAACAGCGCAUGAAAAACGAUUUACUUCUGAGUUUACUGACAAAACAAUGUGGCAGUAGGUAACGAUUUCGGGGUGAAAUGGUACAGAAGAAGAACUGUAGUCAAAACGUGAAUUCUUCAUCAAACACAAACCACUCGCUUGGGAGUCAUGAGCUGCUUGUGGAUGUGUAAUGGACCCUGGAGCCUAUCCCAGGGAGCAUAGGGCACAAGGUGCACCCUGGACAGAUGACAAUCAAACUCACAAUCACACACCCAUUCAUACACUACAGACACUUUUUAAAUGCCAAUCUGCCUACUGAUUGUCGUUGGAUUGGGGGAGGAAACCAGAGUACAGGAUGAAACAGGGAGAACAUGCAAACUCCGCACACAUGGCAGGAAUCGAAGCUCCAACCCUGGAGGUGUGACGCGAGUGUGCUAACCACUAAGCCACCAUGUGCCCACGCAGGGAACCUGGAGCCUAUCCAAGGAAGCAUGGGGCACAAGGCAGGGGACACCCUGGACAGGGUGCCAAUCUGUCACAGGGCAUGAUCUGUAAUUGAAAGAUAGAACUGAAAGUGUAAUUAUGCUUCAUUGACUAUGUUUACAUGGACAGCAGUAAUCUAAUUAUUGACCUUAUUUUGAAUAAGACAUUAUUAUUAUUAUUAUUAUUAUUAUUAUUAUUAUUAAGGUGUUUACAUGAAUCGCUUUUCUGUUCUUGUUCCUAUUUUACAUGUUAUAGAACACAGAUCGAUUAAUGGCACACAACAUUGUGUCCCCACGCCACGCUGUCCGACAUUCUCUCCAGAAUUUCACGUAUUUACAUACAGUUUUGCGUGUUUCAUUUUUUAUUUGAUGAAAUCUGAAAGUGCAGUUAAUUAUUUGUCAUGCUAUUCAUGCAAAUAGACAGCUGCUUGAAGCCAUGGGCUGCGUCCCAAACCACAUACUUCCCUACUAUGUAUUAGCUCCGUGGUUUUCAAAGUGGGGGCCACCAGGGGGUGCCUGGGGGGCCUCAACAAUUUGGUCGGAGCCACCAAGCCCAUCCCUCCCACUAGUAUGUUUUCUCUUUCUCACUCUCAGACAACCAUGCGCACACACAAUCAAUUCCUAAUGUAAUGUAAAGAUGUAAGAUGUAAUUAUUAAUUUAUUUAUUUUUUAAAAAGGGGAUAUAUUCAGAAGUCUGUAUUUUUAAUGUGUUUUAAAGACAUAUUCCAAAAGGGGGGUCUUGGUCAAAUGUUAAUGCCAUUUGGGGGGCCUUGCCCUGGAAAAGUUUGGGAACCCCUGUAUUAGCUGAAAUACAUGUAUCUCUCCUACUAUAUAGUAGGAAAGUACGCGGUUUCGGAUGCAGCCGUGCUUUCUUGAUUGCCGUCAAACGGUUGAGCACUGCCGUGUGUGUAUGUGUCCUGUCGCAAAAUGUGGUGAAAACUCUCACAUGACGUUAAUAGUGUGAUUAAGGUGUUUAUAUGUCUGUAAUGCACGUCGAUAAUGCGACUAAAACAGGAAUACUCCAAAUGUCUUAAUUCGAUUUGUGUUUACUUCGAGUAUGACUUUAGUCGGGUAAAGGUAAUUAAUAAUCGCUGUUUACAUGGUAGUUUCUUAAUCAGAGCAUUGUUUUAGUCAGGUUAAUAUCAGAUUAUUGUUGUCCAUAUAAACGUAUUGAAUGUUGCACUUUUCAAAAGACAAAUGAGAUUUUAGCAGGUAGUAAAGUUAGCACAGGUAACCAGUUGUUAAUAAUUUCUCUGCAUUAUGAGCCAAGGCAUUAUUGUAUUAUUUUUAAAGUCUACUUUUAUUUUUGAAAAGUUGAGCCCUACAUGGAUGAAAAAUUUGCCUCCCAUGCUUUUGCCACCCUGGGAGAGAUUAUGGUCAGUGCAAGAAUUGUUAGAAACAAAACAGACAGGUAAGAUGGCAAAUUACACACACUAUCCUGGCUAACGUAUAACACAGGUUUUCCUCUUUUCAUAUAUAUGCCUAUUGGACUAUUUUGCAUUGGCCAAAUGCACAUAUUUUUCUGCAGUGUGAAUAUAUUGGUGACUGAAUUAGAGGUAUGCUGUUGGUUAUUGCUUUGUGGAGAAAAGUGAAUGGGGAAACUUCUACCAAGAUCUAUGUAGGUCCUUGUCCAAUUUUAUCCGGAAAGGGCCAGUGCGGGUGCAGGUUUUCAUUCCAAUCAAGCAGAAGUCACACCUGAGUCUAUUGAAAGCUAGAUCAACUGAUUAAAAAGGUGGAAUCAGGUAUGGCUCCUGCUUAUAGCCAUACUGGCCCUUUACGGAUAAGAUAGGACACCCCUGGUUUAAUCAAACCUAAUUUGAGGUGCUUAUUACAUAUUUCUCGAGAUUCAGUUUAGACAGCUUGAUGACUUGAAUUGUUUUUGUCAAAAAUGCCUGAGGUUAUUAGUUCAUAAGAUUUUGGUCAAUAUAUGCUACCAAACAAGUGGAGCUGUAAUAAUAAGCAAACAUUUGGACAACAAAAUUUUUGAGAAUAAAAUUAAUUUCAUUAUAGCAAGAAAGGUGGUUGCUUAUGAUAAUUGGGUGACUACACAGCUGUUGCUUCUUCUACAGUCAUAUUGGCAUACACUUCAACCGUCCUGAUUUUCCCAAAGGGUCCUUUAUUUUUAGAUGUUGGUAUUUUGCAUAUACCAUCUAAGAAGGAAGCUGUGCUCAGGUACUGCACACCAGCCCUGAAGGUUUUGCCUAAGGGUCCAACACUAGGAGUCUGACAGUUUGGACUGAGUCUUGGAUUUGAACUCAUUUGUCUUAAUUUGUCUUAUAGGCACAGAACCAUACAAUGCUACAAGUAUACUGAUACAUAGUUCUGAAGGUUGUGGAUUAUGUUACAGACAUCUGUUUAAAUAUAUAUAUAUAUUUGUUCUUUUCAAAAAUCUGAUUUUGUUUAAUAAGCACCAGUAAGCCUUCAAUCAAACAUAUUCUCUUUGGUGAGUCUGUAGUCAUACCUGCAAUGAUGUAUUCUUACUGACCACACAGCAUGUCAGCAAUGUGGUUAUAGGAAACUUCUGUAGGGUAUUGCAAAUGCUGUCUAGGCAGCAACCCCCAUAUUUCUGUUAGCUGUGGUUAUUUUGAGCUUAAAUGCAUUAAGCACAUGUCUCUAAUCAUCUUGUUGUGGUGAUUAAUGGUUUUGUCCUGGAAAUUCAUUUCAUGUUCCUCUCUCUGUGUGUGCUUUAAAUUGCUUUUUUUUUUACUUCCUCAACCCAGAAGAUUCAAGCUAAAAAUAGCUACUGGGAAGCAAGGAGAUAACAGAAAUGAGAGUGCAUAUUUUGAUCUCAGCUGCUCUCAGCCAUACAUGUGACAACAAACAGUACUUUGAUUUCAACUGCUCGCAGUCGUUCACAAAUGACCAUAACCAAUAGUAUCAGCAGUGCCUUAACUACUACUCAAACUGGGGAUAUGAUCAGAGCGCAGGCCACUGGUCAUAUCACUGCUAUAAUUAGGCUUGUGAAGACACAAGUGAAGAUGAUUGGCUUGAAG